rfam:Nostoc sp. PCC 7524 plasmid pNOS7524.01, complete sequence.
AUUGCAAUUAACCUUAAUCCCUAUUAGGGAUUGAAAC